rnacentral:rRNA from 2 species
GCUGAAUGUGGGGAUAAUUUAUCUCCGUGUUGUAGCUAACGCGUUAAGCACUCCGCCUGGGGACUACGGUCGCAAGACUAAAACUCAAAGGAAUUGACGGGGACCCGCACAAGCGGUGGAGCAUGUGGUUUAAUUCGAUGCAACGCGAAAAACCUUACCACUCCUUGACAUGGAGAUUAGAUCCUUCUUAACGGAAGGGCGCAGUUCGGCUGGAUCUCGCACAGGUGCUGCAUGGCUGUCGUCAGCUCGUGUCGUGAGAUGUUGGGUUAAGUCCCGCAACGAGCGUAACCCUCAUCCUUAGUUGCCAGCGGGUAAGCCGGGCACUUUAAGGAAACUGCCGGUGGUAAACCGGAGGAAGGUGGGGAUGAUGUCAAGUCAGCACGGCCCUUAUGGGGUGGGCUACACACGUGCUACAAUGGUGACUACAAUAGGUUGCAAUGUCGCAAGGCUGAGCUAAUCCGUAAAAGUCAUCUCAGUUCGGAUUGUCCUCUGCAACUCGAGGGCAUGAAGUCGGAAUCGCUAGUAAUCGUGGAUCAGCAUGCCACGGUGAAUACGUUCUCGGGUCUUGUACACACUGCCCGUCACGCCAUGGGAAUUGGCUUAACUCGAAGCUGGUGCGCUAACCGAAAGGAAGCAGCCAU